UACAGAGGGUGCGAGCGUUGUUCGGAAUUAUUGGGCGUAAAGCGCUUGUAGGCGGUCGUCUAAGUCUCGUGUGAAAUCCCUCGGCUCAACCGAGGAAGUGCACGAGAUACUGAACGACUCGAGUGCCGGAGAGGGUCGCGGAAUUCCCGGUGUAGAGGUGAAAUUCGUAGAUAUCGGGAGGAACACCAGUGGCGAAGGCGGCGACCUGGACGGACACUGACGCUGAGACGCGAAAGCGUGGGGAGCAAACAGG
rnacentral:rRNA from 1 species